GGGAGAUCUGGCGGGCACCUCUGUCCCUCCAUUGAUGGUCAGCGGUGAUCUGGCAGGCAGAGAAGAAUUCUUCCUUCUCUGCUUCUCGUGCGUCCCUCCUGAAGAUGCAUUUGGUGACGAGGGUGACUUCCCUGACAGAGGAGGCCCACUUUUCAUGCAAGUGUAUGCAAGCAGCUGCCUUUCUCUUCUAGAACCUCUUAAAAAACGUUAUCAAGAGGUAUGUUUUAGGGCCAGGGAUUAGCUCAGUGGUUCU
rfam:Fukomys damarensis contig72720, whole genome shotgun sequence.